CUGAACAUUGACUUUGACAGCUGUCUGUCAAAAAGUUUGCUUUUGCUGUUUUAAUUUUAAAAAUUAAAAUUUAAUAAAACAAAGCUCUAAACAAAAACAAACAAAAAAAAUCAAAGAAUUGUUCCUGUUUUGUCGAUUGUCAUGUUCCUCUAGCUGUGUUAGUUUUAUACCUUAAACAGUGGUUACCUAUGAUGCCCAAGAUGACGAAGAGAGAUCGCUGCCACACAUCUUCCAUGGUUUCCAUUCCAAACUACCACCAGGAAUUCUAAAACAUGGUUUGCCCACUGUGAAGGAAGUUGCAUCAGCCAUAACAACACAACUUGAACACAAAAAAGAACAUGAAGAGAAGAAAGAGAAUGAUCAUCUUGUCGGGGGACUUUGAAAGGCUUGUUCUACACGCUGGACGUGUCAUCGAAAGGGCUCUAUCUAAGAAUGUCGACAUCUACACAGAUUACAUUGGAGGUGUUGGUGAUUAUGAAGAGUCAAACGAUGAGAGGACACAUGCUAGGUUGUCAUUGAAUCGAGCUUUCUACGAAGACCGAUGGUCUAAGAAUCGAUGCAUCACUUCAAUGGAUUAGUCACCACAUUUUCCUGAACUGGUUGUUGCUUUGUAUCACAAUAAUGAGGAGAGUCCCAAUGAACCAGAUGGUGUUGUAAUGGUCCGGAACACAAAAUAUAAAAAAACAAACACCCGAAGAUGUAUUCCAUUG